rnacentral:ncRNA from 1 species
AUCUUCAGGGCAGGGUGUAAUUCCCGACCGGCGGUAUAGUCCGCGAGUGAUGAAUCAUAUUCGAGUAUAAUUUGAUUUUGAGCUGACUCGGUGCAACUCCGAGACCGACAGUAUAGUCUGGAUGGAAGAAGAU